UGGUUGUUAAGUCAGAUGUGAAAGCCCGGGGCUCAACCUCGGAAUUGCAUUUGAAACUGGCAAACUAGAGUACUGUAGAGGGGGUAGAAUUUCAGGUGUAGCGGUGAAAUGCGUAGAGAUCUGAAGGAAUACCGGUGGCGAAGGCGGCCCCCUGGACAGAUACUGACACUCAGAUGCGAAAGCGUGGGGAGCAAACAGGAUUAGAUACCCUGGUAG
rnacentral:rRNA from 1 species